rnacentral:tRNA from 1 species
AUUUAUAUAAUAUAAAAAGUAUAUUUAACUUCCAAUUAAAGUGUUUAUCUUCUUCGAUAAUAUAAAUA